UGUACCUAUAUACCAAAUUUCAUCAAAAUCAGACGAUAUCGGAAUCUGGACCAAUCAGAGGCCAGGAAUUGGCGGCCAUUUUGUUUAAAUGUGAAAGUGAGGCAACGAGAGGUACCGUGUCCAAUUAUGUACCUACAUAUUAAAUUUCAUCAAAAUCGGACGAUAUCUAAAUCCGGACCAAUCAGAGGCCAAGAAUUGACGGCCAUUUUGUUUAAAUGUGAAAUUGAGGCUACAAGAGGGACUUGUGUCCAAGGAUGUUCCUACAUAUCAAAUUUCAUCAAAAUCGAACUAUAUCUAAAUUUGGACCAAUCGGAGGCCAAGGAUUGGCGGCCAUUUUGUUUAAAAGUGAAAGUGAGGCUACGAGAGGGACCGAUGUCCAAUGAUGUACCUACAUACCAAACGUCCUCAAAAUCGAACAAUAACUCAAUUUCCACCAGUAAUUAGAAGCCUUUGAGUGUCAAAUUUCAUUAAGUGGGGGACUUAAUUAUGUAUUGGUUAUAAAUUAUCUUGUAAUAAUUCUCACACUAAAACAGGUUCUGGAAUAUGGCAUGUUGAUUCAAUUAGCAUCUAUCCAAUCCUAAGUUCUGGGCACCUCGUGUGUUGUUCAAUGAGGUAGUCACCAACUACUCCAUCCAAGCAGACCCAGCCUCAAAAUGAUCCUGACUCUUCAUAUGGCAAUAAACCCAGCUAACAAACAGAACAAUAAAUUGUAACUCCUGUAAAAACUAGUCGCAAUAUACCGCUGGACUAGAGAGAUCUUCAAUUUAGCUCGAUCGGUUGAGCGUAAGACUAGUAAGCCAGAGGUCCCGGGUUCAAUCCCUAGCUGAGGCAGUGAUAUAAAUUUAAUUAAUCAUGCGCUCUGUUACAUUGGCCCAUGUAGGGACCUGGGGAAAAUAAUCAGGAUUGCUCCACAAGCAUCACUGUUACUCCUGUAAACUCGAGGACGAGUUCUUUCCUGGAGGGGAAGUAUGUAACCCUGGUAAAUACUAGCCGCAAUAUACCGCUCGGCUAGAGAGUUCUUCUCUAUAGCUCGAUUGGUUGAGCGUAAGACUUGUAAGCCAGAGGUCCUGGGUUCGAUCCCUAGCGGAGACAGUGAUUUAAAUAUAAUUAAUCAUGCGCUCUGUUACACACGCACAGUAUUCUAAUCAAUAAAAUAGUGACAUGCCAUCUAAGAUUUUAAAAUGUCAUAUAUGUGAUGUAAAAAUCCUGCGUCCAAAAUUUACGAGUUCACAAAGCGGGCAAAAUCAACCAGUAUUCAGCCUAUAUAUGGAUUAUGAAAUAUCCAUGAGGCAGCAGUGUACACCAGUUUGGCAGGUUUCUGAAAAAAAUUGGUAUCUCUUAGUUAAGGCCGGGUAGUAGUUGGUGACUACCUCAAUGAACAACAUGCAGGAGGCCUUUUGCAUGUCAUCCAGGACACAACCAAAACAGCACUGAAAAUAAAUGACAUGUCUUACUCUUAA